GCUUGCAGCCUAACAGGCAGAGCUGACUUAGUUGGAUUCAAUAUUAUGCCACUGAAAACCCAAUCACAGAUCAACAACAAUGAAUGAUCUUCAUUCACUCAAAUACUCAACCUACAGAAGGAGUCACUUCAAGAUCUGUAAGAUGCUGACCUGUAUGAAAAUGAUGGGAUAGGAUAAUCCCAUGUUUUAAUCAACACCUCUAACAGGUG
rnacentral:lncRNA from 1 species